rnacentral:rRNA from 1 species
GUCUAUGGCCAUGCCACCCUGAAUGUGCCCAAUCUCAUCUGAUCUCGGAAGCUAAGCAGGGUUGGGCCUGGUUAGUACUUGGAUGAGAGAUCACCUCAGAAUAUCAAGUGCUGUAGGCA